GAGAGAGUAAGAUACAACUAAGAGAUUGCUAAUCCCUUAGAACUCCGGUUUAAAUCCGGGGCUCACUCG
rnacentral:tRNA from 1 species